UGCAAAGUCGAUGCAGAGCUGCAGCUGCGCC
rnacentral:piRNA from 1 species